UCUCCGUUGGUGAACUAGCGGAGGGAUCAUUACAGGACUCGCAAGACUCCUACAACCCUGUGAACUUAACUAUAAGCACGUUGCUUCGGCGGGUGUCUCGGAGGGGGUUCUCCCUCCCCGAGACGCUAAACCCGCCGGCAGCCUACUAUACUCUGUCUCUUUGCGUUGGCAUCUCGAGUACAAUCAAACAAGUUAAAACUUUCAACAACGGAUCUCUUGGUUCUG
rnacentral:misc_RNA from 1 species